rnacentral:misc_RNA from 1 species
CGUACAUAUUGUUCUCCCAUCUCCUGUAAAACAAAACAGCGUACCCUCUCAUUUUACAACCACAUGGUAGAGUAUCGUCAGAUUAUCUUAGUGUCAUUUCGUUGCAUCUACCUGGAACCGAACCUUCUGACUCUACAAAGCCCACCCUCAUAUCAUCAUACCAAGUUAAGUGUGUACUUUCUAGGAUCUCAAUGGGCACAGCAACUUCCUCAAGCUCCGGAAAUGAUACUUGGCCUCGCCUCGUAUUGUCAUAUGCAUGUUUAUAUUUGUAUAUCAUUGUGUUUUCGUUUCUUUUAAUUGUGAGGUAUCUGGCACACAGAAUAAUUAGAUGACACUAUGCCGGGCACAUUACUUGGAGUAUUUAAAGCCGUAGGCGACGGUUUCGACUUCAGUGUUUACGUUGGUCUGCUUGGGCUCAGACACUGCAUUGAACGUCGUUGCAAGAGCUGUUUUAUUCGGACGGUGCACUCAUUUCCAGCAUGAUGGCACCGUCCUACUGCACCAUUCUUAUAGCGUUGGCGGUCACAGUACUUACCGGACUGUGCUUCGCUCAUCCAGUCAGCAAUACACUUGUGCCAACAACAAGAACGUCCGUGCCUUGUGUAAGCGGCCCAAUGGGAAUGGAAAGCGGAGCCAUUGAGGACAGCGGAAUAACCGCGUCCUCUGUCUACAGCAUUUACUACCCACACACUGCUCGACUUAAUGUUGGCUCCGCUGGAUGGUUACCACCAACUCCAGCCAACCAAUGGAUUCAGGUCGAUCUCGGUAAAUAUGUUGCAAUCACUGGAGUUGUGAUACAGGGAUACUCCACAGGCUCCAACUACUACGUGACUACAUUCACAGUGCAGUACAGCGUAAGUGGCGGCUCAGAUUGGCAAGGAUUACUUGAUGCCGACGGAGACAUUAUUCGGUUUAGUGUAAGCAGUGGACGACCAACAAAUCUGACGUUCCCCGUGGUACUGAUGGCAAGGUAUCUUCGCAUAUUGCCUCAGACCUGGACUUCAGGAGGUUACUAUGUGAGAUUCGAAGUGCUCGGGUGUAUAGUAUCUGGUGGAUCGCUCUUGCUCGUUGACGGUGAGGACGCCCUCAGCGGCCGAGUGGAAAUCUACCACCAGUCCACAGCCACCUGGGGUGCCGUCUGUUCCAACGGCUGGGAUUUAAGCGACGCCCAUAUCGCCUGCCGCCAACACCACCGUUUCCUGGAGGCAGUUCAAGCUGGGGCGAGCUCGGCAGGGACUGACCUCCCGAUCGUCAUGAACCAAGUCGCCUGUAGAGGCACAGAGAAUCGCCUGGUGGACUGCCCGUUCAUUUGCAACGAAUAUCAGCAGUGUAACAGCUCGCGUGUCGCCACGGUGGUUUGCCUACCCAAAAUGAAUACUGUUCGCUUGGUGGGAGGUUCCAAUAACUCCAGCGGCCGCGUGGAGGUGUACCGUAACAACACCUGGGGAAGCAUUUGUGACAAUGACUGGGACAUCAACGACGCUGCUGUGGUCUGUCGCUUUCUGGGCUUCUCCGGAGCGCAGGCGGCCAAGUCCGGUGCUUACUUCGGUCAGGGCAGUGGUCCUGUCCACAUGGACGGUGUGGCGUGCACUGGAACAGAGGGCAGCUUCGGUGACUGCCCGUCUUCGUGCUGGGAGGAGCCCCAAUGCAGCCACAGUCAAGAUGCCGGUGUCAUCUGUGAAAGUGGAUAGAGACUGGUUCAUCUCUUCAGUGUUCGACCCCCUUGAAGUUUGCCUAUCUAUAGGGCAUGCUUCUGUCUCUGAUAUCAUACUUAGUAACAUUUUGAUUUUUAUUCAUUGAGCACACUGCACAUCCAGCUAUGGUGAUUCAAGUCCUCAUCAGAGAUUGCAUACGAUCAUGAUGCUGUUCCUUCCAACAGGAUAUGUACAGCAACGAAGAGUUCAUCAUUUUCGCAUUCCACACGACCAGGGGCUAGUGAAAGAACAUGCACACAGCCCAUGGAGUCAAGGUUGCUGUCAACCAUUCCCAUUCAAUCGGAGCUUUGCUGAUUUUUAAGUUUUCAGCCAGCGAAAAAUCAAAACAUGCUGAUUUCUAUUAAAACACCCAAAAUAGAAUAUAUUGAAACCCCCAAACGAGGGCCCUAUGUGCAGAAAAAGAAGGUGCUAUUUUCUAUGUGAAAAUGUGGGGGUUGUUACACGUGUACACUGAAAACCUUCUGUCUUGCAGCUGCACUGAGCAAAUCACCAAAACAUUUGUCAAAGGCUUUUGAAGUUAGCUAUGCAUAUUACAAAUCGUAUAAAGUAAAGUCUGAAAACUGUCUCUACUAUAUAUGGUAGCAACACAGGUACAUUGUGUAGUGCGUAUUGCAUGUACACCGAGCGAUUCAUCACGCGAAAAUUAAUGCAUUUUAAAUAAAUCGAUGUACAACAGUAUCCCCGACAGGUUUUAUUUUAUUAUUAUCAUUAAAAUUAUUAUUGUAAUAUUUCCAAAUAGGUAACUUGGGAGACGUUUUGUAGUAAAGUUUUCAUCAUUAGGAAGACAUUGGUCAUUAGGGAGACAUUUCAAUGUCCCCCUAAUGUUCCAACUACCAAAAGGAGGAAAAAUUUUUACCG